UACAGAGGGUGCAAGCGUUGUUCGGAAUUACUGGGCGUAAAGCGCGUGUAGGCGGUCUCGCAAGUCGGUCGUGAAAGCCCUUGGCUUAACCAAGGAACUGCGAUCGAAAACUACGAGACUAGAGUAUCGGAGGGGGUGGCGGAAUUCCCGGUGUAGAGGUGAAAUUCGUAGAUAUCGGGAGGAACACCUGUGGCGAAGGCGGCCACCUGGAAAGAUUACUGACGCUGAGACGCGAAAGCGUGGGGAGCAAACAGG
rnacentral:rRNA from 1 species